rnacentral:rRNA from 1 species
UGGGGAAUCUUGGACAAUGGGGGCAACCCUGAUCCAGCCAUGCCGCGUGAGUGAUGAAGGCCUUAGGGUUGUAAAGCUCUUUCAACGGUGAAGAUAAUGACGGUAACCGUAGAAGAAGCCCCGGCUAACUUCGUGCCAGCAGCCGCGGUAAUACGAAGGGGGCUAGCGUUGUUCGGAUUUACUGGGCGUAAAGCGCACGUAGGCGGAUCGUUAAGUGAGGGGUGAAAUCCCAGGGCUCAACCCUGGAACUGCCUUUCAUACUGGCGAUCUGGAGUUCGAGAGAGGUGAGUGGAAUUCCAAGUGUAGAGGUGAAAUUCGUAGAUAUUUGGAGGAACACCAGUGGCGAAGGCGGCUCACUGGCUCGAUACUGACGCUGAGGUGCGAAAGUGUGGGGAGCAAACAGGAUUAGAUACCCUGGUAGUCCACACCGUAAACGAUGAAUGCCAGUCGUCGGGUAGCAUGCUAUUCGGUGACACACCUAACGGAUUAAGCAUUCCGCCUGGGGAGUACGGUCGCAAGAUU